rnacentral:misc_RNA from 1 species
GUAGGUGAACCUGCGGAGGGAUCAUUAACAUAACAUUUGCUCGUGUGGGAACAAGUUGAUGCGCUCGAUGAUCCGCAAGGAAUGACGAGCAAGUCGCUUGCCCUGCACGUUCAAUCACACCCGCGAACUUAUUCAACCACACCCGGACGCGUAUCCUCUGUGAUGCGCUUCCACCCACUUUUCACACCCCUUCUCAUUCUUUUUCACACACUGAUUGUGUUCGUCCUUGUGGCGUCCGCUCUCAUGUACACUAAUCUAUAUAUCACUCCUAGCAAUGGAUAUCUUGGUUCUC